CAAGUCCCAGUUCGGAUUGCGGUCUGCAACUCGACCGCAUGAAGUCGGAAUCGCUAGUAAUCGCGAAUCAGAAUGUCGCGGUGAAUACGUUCCCGGGUCUUGUACACACCGCCCGUCACACCAUGGGAGUUGGAAGCGCCCGAAGUCUGUGACCUAACCGAAAGGGAGGAGCAGCCGAAGGUGAAGCCAGUGACUGGGGUGAAGUCGUAACAAGGUAUC
rnacentral:rRNA from 1 species